AUUUUGGUAGCUUAAUAAGAGUGUAACGUUGAAGCUGUUAAGGUGGCUUUUGCCUCAGAAUA
rnacentral:tRNA from 1 species